UGUGCUGGUGGGAGAGUCCGGCGAGAAGCACUCUACAGAGACUCCUUCCAAUAACCAGCAGGCCUUGUUGUGAUGAGGACUUCCUUCAUCGUUCCUUCAGGUGAUUGCUGAUUGGAUGAUGUACAAAUUGUGCUGGGUGGUCUCAGUCCAGGUUUGCUCAGUGUCUGCUAUAAUUCAAAAGAAUGUUAUAUACCUGUUGUACGCGAUGACAUCACGGAUCACAGGACAGUGUGUGUGUGUGUGUGUGUGUGUGUGUGUGUGUGUGUGUGCGUGCGUGUGCGCCUUUGAUCCUUCUGGUCCUUGCAUCAUCGGGGGUUGUGUGAUAAGAUUUCAAUUAACGACUGUCACGAAUUGAAACGAUCAUUUGAACUGUACGAAAAUAUCGUUCUUUUUUAUUUAUUUUUUUAAUCAGCCAAUCACUAGCCACCUAUAUGCAUGAUGCCACAGAGGAUAUAUUCAUGAAUGCAUAUCUGUUUGUUUUUUGAUGUUUUUUUGUAAUGUGGGUGAGGGCUGGUGGAAGCAGCCUGCAGUCAUCGAGGCCGAGCUUUACAGGGAACAUAAAGCCGACACUGCAUUCGGCGUCCUGUGGGAAAUGCAAAGAGGGCGACGCGUUGAAAUGUGGAAUAGAAAGGGAAGCAGUGGCGUUGUGGUACAGAAGAGUGAAAUAGCAGAAACCAUUGUGUUGCGUGUUUCCCCCUUUGGAUGCUGCGAGACUGGAGAGAAGUGUGCAUGGGGAGCAGUUGAGGUGCAUCUCUCCAGCAGGGAGAAAACAUGCUUAAUGAUAUUAUUGUGUGGGCUACAGUGAGGGCAUGUUUUAAAUUGUUAAUAAGCUUCAUUUGCCAAACCCGUAAAAGGUUGUUUGUGUGGGCUGAGGCUCAGAUUCUCUGGGAACAAAAAAUGUAAUGAGAAUAAAAAUCACGCUCUGGGGCUGAGAACCGCAGAAAGUUGGCAGUGGGAGGUAUAAUGGCUCUGCAGUGAUUUGAAAUGUUGCACAUGUAGGAAGAAGGAAAGAAACACUGGGCACCGGGUCAGGAAAUUUAUUCAACAUUACUGAGUUGCUCAGUUAUGCCAAAGCAUGUUUUAUUUUAAACGUUACAGGAAAAAAAACAUAUAUAUAUAUACGAUACACGAAAUAACAUUCAAAAAUUCUGUCAAAAACACUUCACGG
rnacentral:lncRNA from 1 species